rnacentral:sRNA from 1 species
CUUUAAAUUCUAAUUCUAAAUAUUUAAGAGCACCAAGUAUUCGCCAAUUUUCAAAUCGUAUGAAUAAUUUGGAUGAUUGUGUUAAUUUAACUAUUGGCCAACCAGACUUCCCGAUGCCUGAUGUUGUGAAAAAGGCAUAUAUUGAUGCUAUUAACAAUGACAAGACAUCAU